CUAUCAUUAACUGAAUCCAUAGGUUAAUGAGGCGAACCGGGGGAACUGAAACAUCUAAGUACCCCGAGGAAAAGAAAUCAACCGAGAUUCCCCCAGUAGCGGCGAGCGAACGGGGAGGAGCCCAGAGCCUGAAUCAGUGUGUGUGUUAGUGGAAGCGUCUGGAAAGGCGCGCGAUACAGGGUGACAGCCCCGUACACAAAAAUGCACAUAUUGUGAGCUCGAUGAGUAGGGCGGGACACGUGGUAUCCUGUCUGAAUAUGGGGGGACCAUCCUCCAAGGCUAAAUACUCCUGACUGACCGAUAGUGAACCAGUACCGUGAGGGAAAGGCGAAAAGAACCCCGGCGAGGGGAGUGAAAAAGAACCUGAAACCGUGUACGUACAAGCAGUGGGAGCCUCUUAAUGGGGUGACUGCGUACCUUUUGUAUAAUGGGUCAGCGACUUAUAUUCUGUAGCAAGGUUAACCGAAUAGGGGAGCCGAAGGGAAACCGAGUCUUAACUGGGCGUUAAGUUGCAGGGUAUAGACCCGAAACCCGGUGAUCUAGCCAUGGGCAGGUUGAAGGUUGGGUAACACUAACUGGAGGACCGAACCGACUAAUGUUGAAAAAUUAGCGGAUGACUUGUGGCUGGGGGUGAAAGGCCAAUCAAACCGGGAGAUAGCUGGUUCUCCCCGAAAGCUAUUUAGGUAGCGCCUCGUGAAUUCAUCUCCGGGGGUAGAGCACUGUUUCGGCAAGGGGGUCAUCCCGACUUACCAACCCGAUGCAAACUGCGAAUACCGGAGAAUGUUAUCACGGGAGACACACGGCGGGUGCUAACGUCCGUCGUGAAGAGGGAAACAACCCAGACCGCCAGCUAAGGUCCCAAAGUCAUGGUUAAGUGGGAAACGAUGUGGGAAGGCCCAGACAGCCAGGAUGUUGGCUUAGAAGCAGCCAUCAUUUAAAGAAAGCGUAAUAGCUCACUGGUCGAGUCGGCCUGCGCGGAAGAUGUAACGGGGCUAAACCAUGCACCGAAGCUGCGGCAGCGACACUAUGUGUUGUUGGGUAGGGGAGCG
rnacentral:rRNA from 1 species